UACGUAGGGGGCUAGCGUUGUCCGGAUUUAUUGGGCGUAAAGAGCGUGUAGGCGGCCAGGUAGGUCCGUUGUGAAAACUCGAGGCUCAACCUCGAGACGUCGGCGGAAACCCUCUGGCUAGAGUCCGGAAGAGGAGAGUGGAAUUCCUGGUGUAGCGGUGAAAUGCGCAGAUAUCAGGAAGAACACCCGUGGCGAAGGCGGCUCUCUGGGACGGUACUGACGCUGAGGUGCGAAAGCGUGGGGAGCAAACAGG
rnacentral:rRNA from 1 species